GUGGUAGUAGCUCAGCUGGUUAGAGCAUCGGAUUGUGGUUCCGAGGGUCACCGGUUCGAAUCCGGUUUACCACCCCA
rnacentral:tRNA from 2 species